rnacentral:rRNA from 1 species
GCAAGUUGAACGGUAAGGCCUUCUCUCGGAAGUACACGAGCGGCGAACGGGUGAAUCAACGUGAGUAAUCCUUGCCCUUUCACUCUCGGGAUAAGCUCUCGGAGACGGGGUCUAAUACCGGAUACGACACUUUCAGGCAUCUGAUGAGUGUGGGAAAGUUUUUUUUCGGUGGGGGAUGUGCUUCGCGGCCUAUUCAGCUUUGUUUGGUGGGGUAAAUGGCCUACCAAGGCUUCGACGGGUAGCCGGCCUGAGAGGGUGACCGGCCACACUGGGACUGAGACACGGCCCAGACUCCUACGGGAGGCAGCAGUGGGGAAUAUUUGGACAAUGGGCGGAAGCCUGAUCCAGCAACGCCGCGUGAGGGAUGACGGCCUUCGGGUCGUAAACCUCUUUCAGUACCGACGAAGCGAGAGUGACGGUAGGUACAGAAGAAGCACCGGCCAACUACGUGCCAGCAGCCGCGGUAAUACGUACGGUGCGAGCGUUGUCCGGAAUUAUUGGGCGUAAAGGGCUCGUAGGCGGUUUGUCGCGUCGGGAGUGAAAACACCGGGCUUAACUCGUGCUUGCUUUCGAUACGGCAAGACUAGAGGUAUGCCAGGGGAGAACGGAAUUUCUUGGUUGUAGCGGUGAAAUGCGCAGAUAUUCAGGAGGAAC